rnacentral:rRNA from 1 species
UUGGAGGGCAAGUCUGGUGCCAGCAGCCGCGGUAAUUCCAGCUCCAAUAGCGUAUAUUAAAGUUGUUGCAGUUAAAAAGCUCGUAGUUGAAUUUCGGGGUUAGUAGGUUGGUCGUGCCUCAGGUAUGUACUGAUCUCGCUGAUUCCUCCUUCCUGAUGAACCGUAAUGCCAUUAAUUUGGUGUUGCGGGGAAACUGGACUGUUACUUUGAAAAAAUUAGAGUGUUUAAAGCAGGCUAACGCUUGAAUACAUUAGCAUGGAAUAAUGAAAUAGGACGUUCGAUCCUAUUUUGUUGGUUUCUAGGAUUGACGUAAUGAUUAAUAGGGAUAGUUGGGGGCAUUAGUAUUCAAUUGUCAGAGGUGAAAUUCUUGGAUUUAUUGAAGACUAACUACUGCGAAAGCAUUUGCCAAGGAUGUUUUCGUUAAUCAAGAACGAAAGUUAGGGGAUCGAAGACGAUCAGAUACCGUCGUAGUCUUAACCAUAAACUAUGCCGACUAGGGAUCGGAUGAUGUUAAUUUUUUAAUGACUCAUUCGGCGCCUUACGGGAAA